rnacentral:rRNA from 1 species
ACCAGGUCCAGACAUUAGAAGGAUUGACAGAUUGAUAGCUCUUUCAUGAUUUGAUGGGUGGUGGUGCAUGGCCGUUCUUAGUUGGUGGAGUGAUUUGUCUGGUUAAUUCCGAUAACGAACGAGACCUUUACCAUACUAACUAGUUAUAUAUAUACUUUUGWAUAUAUAGAUGAACUUCUUAGAGGGACUAUUGGUUUACAAACCAAAGGAAGUAAAGGCGAUAACAGGUCUGUGAUGCCCUUAGAUGUUCUGGGCUGCACGCGCGCUACAAUGAUAAGAUCAUCAAGUAAUUUUACGAUAUGCUUWACUGGAAGGUAUGGCUAAUCUUAAAGUCUUAUCGUGCUUGGGAUAGAUGAUUGCAAUUAUUCAUCUCAAACCAGGAAUUCCUAGUAAUCGUAGCUCAUCAGGCUGCGAUGAUUACGUCCCUGCCCCU